rnacentral:rRNA from 1 species
CCGUGAAUCCGGGCGCGCGGAAUUCAGGACCGACGGACGUGUUCGUCGAUUCGAUAUUUCCGCCGCCGACCCGCAACGGGUGCGGACGUCGCGACCCGUUCGCCGCCGGUCUCACGGGGCGCGCAUCAAGUUCGNUCGCGCGUUCGUCUCGGGGGGCGGCGAUGGCGCGCUUUUUCAGCGGUUUUGCGGACGGUAGCCUCGGUGCGGGUAAUCGACGCGGCCACGGCCGACGUCUCUCGCGUUGGUCGGCGCGCGCGUCGACGCCGGUCAGCGACGAAUCUUCGGGCCUCUUUCCGACCCGUCUUGAAACACGGACCAAGGAGUCUAACGUGCGCGCGAGUCGCGGGGUAUCCGAGUCGGUACGCGAUUCGUCACGAUACGAAACCCGUGUACGUACGUUGUGCGAAGGCGUAAUGAAAGUGAAAGGCGCGCUCGCGCGCGCCGUCGGGGAAGACGGCGUUCCGAGUACACGUUUCUCGGUCGUACGGUACCGAGACCGGGCGCCCGCAUUCCCAGGGCGUCCCGCUCGUACGUCGGUGGCGCGGACGCGCGUCGACCGCCGACGAACUGGGGCGCACCUCUAGCGUGCACGUUGGUACCCGAAAGAUGGUGAACUAUGCCCGGCCAGGAUGAAGUCAGGGGAAACCCUGAUGGAGGUCCGCAGCGAUUCUGACGUGCAAAUCGAUCGUCUGAGCUGGGUAUAGGGGCGAAAGACUAAUCGAACCAUCUA